GGAUUGUGGCUCAGUGGUACAGCGCUUGCCUCACACGCAUAAGGCCCUAGGUUAGAUCCUCAGCACCA
rnacentral:tRNA from 1 species